ACGGAAGGCAGCAGUGGGGAAUAUUGCACAAUGGAGGGAACUCUGAUGCAGCAACGCCGCGUGAGCGAUGAAGGUCUUCGGAUCGUAAGGCUCUGUCCUUGAGGACGAAUAAAUGACGGUACUCUUGGAGGAAGCCCCGGCUAACUACGUGCCAGCAGCCGCGGUAAUACGUAGGGGGCGAGCGUUAUCCGGAAUUAUUGGGCGUAAAGAGUACGUAGGGGGUUUGGUAGGCGUAGGGUGAAAGCCCGGGGCUCAACUCCGGUGAGCCCUAAGAACUGCAAGACUUGAGUGCAGGAGGGGAAAGUGGAAUUCCUGGUGUAGCGGUGAAAUGCGUAGAUAUCAGGAGGAACACCGGUGGCGAAGGCGACUUUCUGGACUGUAACUGACACUGAGGUACGAAAGCGUGGGGAGCAAACAGGAUUAGAUACCCUGGUA
rnacentral:rRNA from 1 species